AGAAUAGGGAGAAUAAAACUGGUAACUGAGUCUUUCUCACAAGAUUCUGACUGUAAGCUUGUGCUUUCCUUUUCAUUUUUCCAGACGCCUAAGGUUUCUCCUUACAUUUAUAGCUGAUCAACUUGUUUCUGCAUAUUUAACCAUAAGUACAUUCUUCUAGCAGAUCCCCUAACCACCUCAUCUCUGCAUUAUUAUUCCUUUAUAUAUAACCUAAUAAUAUUAACAUAAUUUAAAAUUGUAAAUUUGAGAAUUUCAGUGGCUAUAAAACUGGUAACUAUUGCUUACUGACCUCAUUUGUUCAUCUAAAAGCUAUAGUUGAACAUAUGUUGACUUUCAAAGGGGAAGUUUAUUAAAAUGAUCUCAGAGACUCUCAAAGCAUCUGGUACCCAAAUCUGUGCUGGACAGCUCCCACUGGCGCAAUAGUAGAGAGCUUCAUUUAGAAAAUAAUGUACAAGAAUCCCAUCAAGGAAAUUUGUAAAGAUGAUCUCAUUUCAAUUUCAGUUGUAGAUUAAGUCACUGAUCUCAAAAUGAAAGAGAACUUUGUAUCUUUGUCGCUGUACAGAAAAAGGCCUCAAAUCAGCUGUAUAAUGCGUCUUCCACUAUCGAUUCUUCAUUGACAUCUAAGAUUCUUCAUUGACAUCUGAAUAUUACCUCAGUUCCCUUGGCCAUAAAGGGAGGUUGAUACUUACCAACUACCUCCCAUUAAGCACUUCCACAUUUACCACCAAUAAGAGACUGAUCUUUCAAGGCAAGGGCUCGCAAACACAAAUGAAUGUCAUGAAUUAUGGACCCUGUUUUAAAAAAAAGAUCCAAUGAUGCACUAAAUUUCCCAUUGUCAAUUGCAAAAGAAAAUGUUAAAUCUGAACAGGAUGCAAAGGAAACAAAAGACAACCUCACAGGAACAGCCUCUCAACAUUUUCUCAUCUUUGUGAUAAAGCAAUAAACACAGAACCAAAAAUAAAUUCAACAGAACAAGGAAGGAAAAGGAGACAGUCAACCAUUUCACCUUGUGCUGGGUUUGUCAAGACAUAGGACUCAAGGUAAUGGGGAAGGAAGGACUUUGGAUGGACACGUCUCUCAGAGGAGUGGUCUUUUUAUUGGUCGAGAGUUAAAAUGAGCUCCAGAUGGACACAUGAGCUCUGAAACGCAUUGCAGAAUGGAUCUGUUGAAGAUGAAACUAUCAUCCUUUGGUAACCAUUUGACUAAGUGGUUAUUGUUUUUAAUCUGUCUUAUCUAUGUAGUGUUUCUUUGACCAGACCCUGCUUCUUAUGCAUUCGGACAUUAUCACACAGAAACCACUUACCAUGAAUUGCCACAACCAAACUCUUGGAACUGAUGCCAUUAAAAAAAAAAAAAAGGAAAGAAAAGAACCCAAUUUUCCUUGCUAAUUUUGCAAUGAAAGUG